rnacentral:lncRNA from 1 species
UCCAGCAGAUCUUAGGAGGCAACAGACAACGCCAAGAGUCCUUCCUGUCUGAGAGCCAGGCACUGCUGUUCUCAAAUGACGCCCCAUACUUCUUCAAAAGCUGUGGUAACUUUAGCACAGGUCAGCGCGGCAGAGAGUGGGUAGUUGCUGAUGGACACCAUCUUUUCUGUGUACUCCACACUGACCUGAGGAGAGAAGGAUCUGGUCAGACGACUCUUACCUGCAGCAGGUUCAGGGUAGAAAACAUGGGGGAGCCAAUGUCUCAACAGCAUGUCAUUCCUAGCAAACCUCUACAAAAACUGGCUACCUUGUGUUAGAGCCAGGCGAGCCCUCAAAGAAUGAAUGCUGGGCAGGGAUGCGGCUACCGCCUGUUUCACGCCCUGUACGUCCCAAUUUGUAAGAACGGGGAUUUUCAAAAUGCCAACUGCUCGUGGAAUCCUGCACUGAGCUUCUGCCUCACAAAGAACCUAAGUACAGAGCAUAAACUGUACCUUGCCAUGGGCAAAGGCCCCCACUACGAAAACAACUGGGUCACUACUGGGCACCAACUCUCGAAUGUCACUGAUGUCCUCAACAGAAAAGGAAGUGCCAAUUUUCAUACAGCCAACUGGGAAGUGGUCAGACACUGGAUUCUUAAUUACCUAAAGAAAAAAAAAAAAGUCAGCCCCAGAACCGGCCCCAGAACCCACCAAGAGGUUUCACCAGCUUUACCUUCAAAAGCUUCUGAGGGCCGUCAGCUGCUCGGACGCUCAGUUUGUGUAAAAGCUGAACUGGGGGGAAAACAGAGUUCAGAAGUGGGAAGACACUACAUUCUUCUGCCCAGCGAUCUAAGCUAAACACCCCUGGGGAAACUGGGCUGUUUUCCUCACAUCACAACAGUUAAGUAAGUCACUAAGCCACUGACGGCUCACACAGCUUUACCCCUCACAGAAAUUUAAGACAGCAG